GUGCUUGCUUAGGCAGCACAUAUAAUAAUACUGGAAGAAUAAAGAGAGGGGUAGCAUGGCUACGGCACGAGGGUAUCAUGCAAAUUCCUUAAGAAUUUCACAUUUAA